UGAGCAUAUAGCUCAGUGGUAGAGCACUUACCUCCCAUGUGCAAGGCCCUGGGUUCAAUUCCCAGUAUUAA
rnacentral:tRNA from 1 species